rnacentral:sRNA from 1 species
AUACGGCCGAAUUUCGUGAAUUACGAAAGCGGGGGACCCGAUCAUUGGGGUGAAUUUUGCGCCGAUCCGCAUUAUGGAUCUUGGCAAAUAGGGCGGCCUGGACGCGCCCGAAUCCGUCAGCUAACCUCGUAGGCAUUGA